UCCACUUCCAUCCUCAAGAAUUCCCAUCCAGCCAUGGUAACUGGAGCCUGGCGCACCGAGAGACCCCCACUAUCCCUAACCUUGGCCAACAAGAAUAUGUUCUGUAAACAUUGUUAUGAAAGUAAGAUUUGGUCACAACAAGAAGUGGUAACAAUCAUGGGCAUUCAUUCACUUUGAAUAGGACAAACCACAGGACAAUCGCAAUGGAAGCAGUUUAAAAAGAAGACUAGUGUACCCUCAAGCUGAGAUGAUGGACUUGAUAGUUUUUUGGAACAAGAAUACAGAUGACCAUGUAUGAAGCUACCUUCAUCAAAAUGUAGCUUAUAGCAACGAUAGGUAACAGAACUUCUUUUAACAAUAGUGAGAGCGUAGACAUCAGACAAAAAAAAUCAUGAUAUCGUUACGACAACACUGCCUCUUUUAUGAUUGUAUACGUGCGAGUUCUCUAAAUUUUGCAUUUACACUAUCAAUACUAAUCCUCAAUAACAGGCCCAUUACAGCUAUCAUUGCUUACGGAAGAAACCAUAUGGAGGGAGAAUUGUCCAUUCAGCAAAGAAUUGCAAAACGUAGUGACGGAGGUGCUCACGGAUACAGCACAGGAGACGGUAACUGCACAAAUGCUGACUUCGGCGUCCUGGACCAGAGUUGCUAAGGCUGAGAAGCUUUGGGCAUCAACAACAGAUGUGUGACCUAAUGGUACACUAACAACACCACUCUAAUUUGGAGAAUCAGCGACUUAAGAAGUGGAUGUGGAAAUGGCUGGUGAAGUAAC
rnacentral:lncRNA from 1 species